GCCUGGGUGGCUCAGUCGGUUGAGCGCCCGAUUUCAGCUCAGGUCAUGAUCUCGCGGUUUGUGGGUUUGAGCCCCACGUUGGGCU
rfam:Felis catus isolate Cinnamon breed Abyssinian chromosome B2, whole genome shotgun sequence.